rnacentral:rRNA from 1 species
CAAGCAAGUAGGAGUCAGGUUUUAAACCUAAUGGCUCUUUCAUGAUUAUAUGAUAGGUGGUGCAUGGCCGUUCUUAGUUCGUGGAGUGAUCUGUCUGCUUAAUUGCGUUUCAAAUUUUUAACCGAGGACCGGGUUUUGGUUUGGCUAGUGGUCCUACGAUGACUGUGAACUGUCAUGUCUUCGGAUGUACGACUAUCGGUCUAGGAUCACAUGACUUGCCCCUGGGACUCUUUUGAACGCAACGGACGUGAUUGCAACCCCUUGUUGAGAUUAGAGAUAGUCUCGAUAUUCACUGGCCAAACUGGCUGCUUUAUGCAGUCUUGUUGAAUGGUGGAUAAACUCGGGGGACUGCUGACUAUAACCAUUUCUCAAAACAGAGGAAGGUUGCGGCAAUAACAGGUCUGUGAUGCCCUCAGAUGUCCCGGGCUGCACACGUGCUACAAUGAGUGGCGCAAUGUGCUAAUGUUUUAAGGGAUAAGCGUGCGGCCAGUAGAACGUCGGCAAUUGCCCUGGCGUCUUCUACCGCACGAUUAUCAGCCUUCCCUUAACAGGGCGGGCAACCUUUUCAAAAUACCGGUUUGAUGUUAAAGUAUAGAGUCGUUUUUUUUGGAUGGUGGUUUACGAACCAAUACCAUCCGCAACUGCUCGCGAGUUUGUGGUUCUGGUGACUCAUGGUGGGGACCGAUGUUUGUAAUUGUUUGUCGCGUGUCAACUAGGAAUG